AGUGAACGCUGGCGGUAGGCCUAACACAUGCAAGUCGAACGGCAGCACAGUAAGAGCUUGCUCUUACGGGUGGCGAGUGGCGGACGGGUGAGGAAUACAUCGGAAUCUACUUUUUCGUGGGGGAUAACGUAGGGAAACUUACGCUAAUACCGCAUACGACCUACGGGUGAAAGCAGGGGAUCUUCGGACCUUGCGCGAUUGAAUGAGCCGAUGUCGGAUUAGCUAGUUGGCGGGGUAAAGGCCCACCAAGGCGACGAUCCGUAGCUGGUCUGAGAGGAUGAUCAGCCACACUGGAACUGAGACACGGUCCAGACUCCUACGGGAGGCAGCAGUGGGGAAUAUUGGACAAUGGGCGCAAGCCUGAUCCAGCCAUACCGCGUGGGUGAAGAAGGCCUUCGGGUUGUAAAGCCCUUUUGUUGGGAAAGAAAAGCAGCAGGUUAAUACCCCGCUGUUCUGACGGGACCCAAAGAAGAAGCACCGGCUAACUUCGU
rnacentral:rRNA from 1 species